GUGAUUCAAUUCACAAGGCAGAGCCCUCAUGAGUGGAUCACUCCAUUCAUGGGUUAAUGGGUUAUUACACGAGUGGGACUGGUGGGCUAGCGCUCAGCCCUCUCACCAUGCGAUGCCCUGCACCAGCCAGAAGGGCCUCACCAGAUGUAGCCCCUCAACCUUGGGCUUCCCAGGCUCCAGAACUGUAAGAAAUACCUUUCAUUUCGUUACAAAUUACCCCAUUUCCUAUAUUCUAUUAUAAGCAACAUAAAACAGACACAGACAGAAAAACUGGUAGAAAGAAGUAGGAUUGUUGUACCUGAAAAUGUGGAUGUGACUUUGGAACGGGGUGAUGGGCAGAGACUGAAAGAAUUUGGAGGAGCAGAAAAAGGUCCUAGAAACAGCCUAGGUUCUGGGGAGGAAAGACAAGAAGACCAGGGAAAGUUUUGAACUCCUUAGAGAUCGAUGAAGUGGUCCUGACCAGCACGUUGCUAGAAAUAGGACAGUACAGGCCAUUCUGAUGAGGCUUCAGAUGGAACUGAGGAACAAGGUAUUGGAAACCGGAGUAAAGGCCAUCCCCGUUGGCAGAGAACUUGGCAGAACAGCGUCUGUGCCUGAGGGCUUUGUGGAAGACUGAGCUGGAGAGUGAUGGACUGGAGUAUCUGGCAGAAGAAAUGUGUAAACCAAAUACAGAAGGAGCUGCAUGGCUACUUUUGGCCACUUACACUGAGAUCUGGGAGCCAAGGAAUAACUUGAACACAGAACUUAUGAUUAAAAGGCAAGUGGAGCUGAAAGAUUUGGACAGCUCACAGCCUGGCCACAUAAAGAAUGAACAAGCAUGAUCAGGAGAGGAAACCAAGGGUGUAGCUCAGUGGCCCUUUGCUAAAGAGACUAGAGGGGAUGGAGGGAUCCAGGUGCUGUUCCUCAGAACAGUGGAAGAAAGACUGACUCCAGAAGGCAUUUGAGUCCUCCCCAUCACAGGCCCAGAGGCCUAGGAGGGCAGAGUGGUUUCAGGGGCCACCAGGAUCUCACCGCCCAGGGCUACAUCCCACACCCUGGCACAGUGUUCCAGAGAUGCCCCAGGUGCAGCUCCUGCCACACCUCUGGAAGGUAUCAGUCAUAAACUUUGGCAGCACCAAGGCUGUGCUAAUUCUGCAGGCUUGCAAGAGUCACGAACUCUGGAAGCAUGACAGCCUCCACCCCUAUUUCAAAGAUGUCCUCAAAAGUCUGAGGGCCCAGGCAGAGACUUGUCAUGGAAAAGGAGCCACCACAGAGGGGACCUCACUAGAGCAACGCCUGGCGGAAAUGCGAGGAGAGAGUCUGCCGCAGACAGUCCACGGAGAGUCCAAUGCCAAGUGGAGCCAUGGGAGCAGGGCUGCCGCCACUGGGCCCCAGAACUGUGGAAUCGUGGGCAGCACGCAGCAGCCCCUGGGAAAGCCUCAGGCUCCACACUCCAAGCCACGCAAGCAGCCUCCUGCACAGCAACCAGAUGGUGGGGCUGCCUGAGGCCUUGGGGCCCAACCCUCACCCCAGUGUGUCCAAGACAUGGCACAUGGAGUCACAAGAAAUUAUUCUCGGCUCUCCGCGCCACUCCCAGCCGCAGCCUCCUGUGCCUCGCUCAACUCCAGCAUGGCAAAAAUCUCGAGCCCUACAGAGACUGAGCGGUGCAUCGAGUCCCUGAUUGCUGUUUUCCAGAAGUAUGCUGGAAAGGAUAAUUACAACUACACUCUCUUCAAGACUGAGUUCCUAAGCUUCAUGAAUACAGAACUGGCUGCCUUCACAAAGAACCAGAAGGACCCUGGUGUGCUUGACCGCAUGAUGAAGAAACUGGACCUCAACUGUGAUGGGCAGCUAAAUUUCCAGGAAUUCCUUAAUCUCAUUGGCGGCAUAGCUGUGGGUUGCCAUGACUCCUUUCUCAAGGCUGCCCAUUCCCAGAAGCGGAUCUGAGGACCCCAUGGGCAUGGCCUCCAAACCCACCCCGUUUCUUUCCAGCCUCCCGGUCAUCAUCCCCUCCUCACAGCCCACACUCCCCUGAGAAUAGCACACCCGCCACCCCAUGCAGGCCUCACCUGCAGGUACUAAUAAAACAGUGUCAUUUUUUUAAAACAAA